UAUUGUUAUUUGUCUUUUGAAAGCAGCCUCCGCGCCCCCAAUCCUUCUUCUUCAUUUUUAUACACUGUACUUCACUCCAGUUCUAAUUUACAGCCUUGAAUCCAGUGAACCAAGUCCUCAUCCAAAAAAACUCUCACCUCUCACACUCUUGCCUCUCGCAUCUGUUGCCGAUGAGUACUGUUCAUUUCGCGUUGCCGUUUUGAUCUCUAAGAGCUGCCUAUUACGUCGCCGUCUCUACCCGCGUGGUCGUCAUUGAUUCAAGCCUGCUACUGGCUCGUCUUCUCUUCUCCACACUCUCUCUCCUCUCUAAACAUCAAAUACGCUGGAAAUGGUAUGAGAAAGGGGAAGAACACUCUUCCAUGGUUCUAUCUCUCACUUGAUCUUUAAACCACCGUAACUUUUGAUCCGGAGCUCCGAUUGCCACACCGUUUGUGGCCACGCAUUCACCGUGACGAGCUCUAUAAAAUCCACUACUUUAUUCUUAAGGACCCAACUAGCUUGAAGGAGAAGAGAAAUCUUAUCUUCUUGAUCCUUGGGUGUGGUAGUGCGUAUGUGAAUAUUGAAGCUUGAUUGAGAUUUUGGAAAGCUUGGAAAAGGGCUUUGGUGUGAUAAAAAUCUGUUCUUAGAGGUGUUGAAGCUUGGCGAGCUUGUGAAAAAGUGAUUUGGAGGUAUUCCAAAUUAAGCGAAAAAGUGGCUAAGAUGCAGGACGUGAGGCUUCUCGCUGAGGCAUGCUGGAGACUUUUGGAUUAGCGAAGAUCCUUGAUUCUCGGGACUUUACUUUGGUUUCAUGUUUUCACUUAGAUACUAUUAUCUCCACUAAAUAAUGUAUAUAAAUAUACUGUUUCGACUUCUCUUAGAGGUUGUUUUGGAGAAUAUGUUUUGUAUUUCACCCUCUGGGUUUCCUUUGGGUUUCUUGCUAUAUAUAUAUAUAUAUAUACUUGUAUAUACUUCUAUG